GCUAAUUUAGAAAGUAGAGAAAAAUAAUAGUAAAAAAGGAAAGAGGGUGACUACUGUUAGGUUUCAAACCUGGGACAAAUGGCUGAGGUGCCCGUAGGGACUGAAGGAUGCAGGGAGAACCUGGCGGUCAAGUUCGCUUUGAUAUACUAAGUAGGCACCUCACCCAUUGGUCCCAGGUUUGAAACCUAACAACUACAGUGACCAUUGGAUAUAGUUGAAACUGUGGUUUCCAGGUCACAACUUAGUUGAGUGGUUUGGACGAGUUCUGUGCCUCACCUCUUCACUUGUAAACUGUAAAAUUCAGGUGACAGAGCAGAACCUACAUCUCAUGGUAUUUCGAAGAUUAAAGAUAACAUCUGGGUUAGAAGUAGGAUCCAAGGAUGAAGAUGGCAAUCUUCAUCUUUGGCUACAGGACCUGAUCUCCAAACCUUCUGGAUCAAGAAUUCCUGGGAGUAAAUCACUCUUCUGAAGCACAUGCUUCCAACAUAUGCAUAUCUGUUAUAAAUGAUACACUUGUAUUGUACAGUAAUAUAAAACAUUGUUUUAAUUUUUGGUUUUUAAAAGA